GGCCUGGGCUGGUCUCUUGCCAAACUGUGUGAGGUCACGUAGGUCGCGCGGUUCAGUAACUCGUCCGUAGAUGUUGGUAUGAAGGGCCUCACAUGGUCAUGGAGACACCGGGUGGUGUGGUGUUCAAAUAUCAUGCCCGUGAAUAAUGAGCAGGUAUACAAUAGUUGUAUCCGUGAAUAAUGAGCAGGUAUACAAUAGUUGUAUCCGUGAAUAAUGAGCAGGUAUACAAUAGUUGUAUCUGUGAAUAAUCAAAUCUGUGAAAGUUUAACCCAUGAAUGUUGAGGGUUUACAAUACACAAAAUUUUCUUCAUUUUUAUACUCCUUUACAUGCACACACAAUCCUACAUACAGAAAGUUAAAAAAGAAAUGAUUAUCGUAAGGUAUAAAGCUCUACGUAUCUAUGGGCUUCCACCGUUAAACCAUGUAGUGAGUGAGUGGAGGUCAGAGAGUUUGCGGCGGAGCUCCGUUGCUAAGGCGAGUAUCGGGCAGGUAACACUUCUGAAUCACCUGAUAUGGAUUCCCCAGUGAAUUUCACAUUGUGCAGGCUCUAUCUUUUCUAAAAGUUUCAAACCAGCCCUUACUGUCAAGGUUUAAGUUAUGCAUCUGUAAUGCUUCCCUCACCCACACUUUCAACAAGGUGACUGUACAUCCGCCUGGCCUUCACACGUAUCACCUGAGAAAUUAAAGGCACACUUCUGGGCCUGGUCUUCCAUCCAUAUGUUCAGUGCCUUUUCCAUUUUUCUAGAUUAUGGUCCUGUGCCAUCAGCAACACGAUCCCUUAUUGUAGCUUUACUCUUCUUAAUGGUACGAAUUGAGGAUUUAUUUACCCCUAUGGUGCGUCCCACUAACGCUAUGCUUUUGCCAUGCGCUAGUCUAUUGAGCACUUAAACUUUCUUUUCUAAUGUUAUUACGUUCCCUGCCCUUUUCACUUUCUUCUCACGCCUAGGGGCCAUAGUUAAGGGCAAAAUCAAUGUUAUUCCAGUAUAAAAUACGUAAUAUAAUAUAUAGAGCAUUGAGAGCAGAGACGGGACACUGUGCAGAUGAAUACAUUGGAACACGGAGGGAAAAAAACGCAGUGCUAACCCGUGGAUACUCUGAAUCCACGAAUGGGAAAUCCAUGGUUGGCGAGGGACUGCAUAUUUAUGUGUGAGUGUGUGUGUUAACCCCUUUUGUAUGGGGUCCCCACAGAGUUGAAUAAAAUUGUCUAGCAUUAGCCAGAUGAAUUAUUAAAAGUGGUGUCCCCAUAGUGAAGGGGUUAAUUCCAACUGAAUUGUGUUGAUGGUAUUGCUGUAACUCUCACCAAUAUGUCAAGAGUUCAAGCCUUGGCCUGGGCACACUUGUGAAGGUUGUUAACCAGUGUGACACUACCAAACAUUACAGGCUUCCUGGUCCCCAGUUUCCUCCUGUACUAACACUGGGUAGACCAACUGCCCAAAUGACUGUUAACCUGAUAAGUGGCAAAAAUUAUAUUAAAAAAAUAUAAGUAAUAUCUCCGUUAGCCAGAACAAUAAUUGGUGCAGAGCACAUCUGGGAAUGAGAGAUUUCCGGGUAAUGAGACGACGACUCUCAAAGCCGGAAAAAACUCUCAUCCCUGGAAUUUUCCGGGUAAUGGAAAAAAUUUCUUGAAAAUUCAAGAAAUUGUCCAGUGCAUCAUCUCUGGAACCCAGAAAAAUUUCUCCCAUCCCCCGAAUUUUCUUGGUACCGUAAAAUUUUUCUUUGAAUUUCCAGAAAAUGCGCCCGAUUUUCAUCUCUGAAACCUGGAGAAAAACUCCCCCAUCCCCGGAAUUUUUUGGGUAUGGGGAAAUUUUUUUUCAGAAUUUUCCGGAAAAUGUGCCCCUGGAAAAUUUCAAUUCCGGCUAUCAGAGUUCCGGGAUUGGGGGAUUCCGGCUGACGGAUAUAUUACUGUACCUGUACUGUAUACUAUUUUGUCCCACCGUUAUCUUUCUAUGCAUUUAAAAAAAAAGAGAUAUAUAGUACUGGAAAUCUCUCUGUUAAAAUGCAUAGAUAUUUAAGUUUCUGAACCAUUGUAAUGAUUUGUAUUGAAUUUUCUACUUAAUGAAUAUUUAAAUAUAUUUUUCAUACUUAUAAAUGCUGAAUGAAUGCUUGCACUGAAAACAUUGUGGGAAUUAAAAUAUAUGAUAAGUUAUACUGAAUAAAAGUAUUUGUAUUCCAUCUAGUUAUAUAGGUCUUCCUUAACAUAUUUGUGCCUUAAAAAACUAAUGAUAUUAUAUGGGUCAAAUUUGGCAUUGAACAUUUAGAAAUUUAGUUAUGCCAUUGUUUUAAGUAAAACCAAAUUUUACUUGCCAAUUAAAAAUAAAUUUGUUGUGUGUGUGGGUGGGUAUUUGUAAACUUUAUCUUGUCUGGAAUCUUACCAAAACUCCUUUACUAAUACAGAUAUGGUGAUGAAGCUUGCAGGAAUAUGUAUCAUCAAUGGACAAAAUACAGAACACCAAAUUUG